UACAUGGGGUGCAAACGUUGCUCGGAAUUAUUGGGCGUAAAGCGCACGUAGGCGGUUUGUUAAGUCGGAUGUGAAAUCCCUCGGCUCAACUGAGGAAGUGCAUCCGAAACUGGCAGGCUUGAGUACUAAAGAGGGUCGCGGAAUUCCCGGUGUAGUGGUGAAAUGCGUAGAUAUCGGGAGGAACACCAGUGGCGAAGGCGGGUCUCUGGGCCGUAACUGACGCUGAGGAGCGAAAGCGUGGGGAGCGAACAGG
rnacentral:rRNA from 1 species